GAAAGUAAAAGUCGUAACAAAGUUUCCGUAAGUGAACCUGCGGAAGGAUCAUUAUUGUAUAACCGAGGUGCGAGGGCUGUCGCUGACCCGAAAGGUCGUGCACGCCCGAGUGCCCUCACACACAUCCAUCUCACCCCUAUGUGCACCACCGCGUGGGUCCCCCUUUGGCUUGUUCGGAGGGGGGCUUACGUUUUCACACAAACUUUGUAUGCAGUGUAGAAUGUAUUUUUUGUUUUUGCGAUCACGCAAUCAAUACAACUUUCAACAACGGAUCUCUUGGCUCUC
rnacentral:misc_RNA from 1 species